GUCCCACGCGGCAAGGACCCACGAACCCGGUCAGGUCCGGAAGGAAGCAGCCGUAAGUGGCCAUCCUUGGGUGACGUGGGGGUGCCUGGC
rnacentral:SRP_RNA from 1 species